rnacentral:antisense_RNA from 1 species
UUUUGAAUUGCAUUUCUCUGGUGAUUAGUGCAGUUCAGCACCUUUUCAGAUUCCUGUUGGCCAUUUAUGGAGUCUCACUCUGUAGCCCAAGCUGGAGUGGCGUGAUCUCGACUCACUGCAACCUCCGCCUCCUGGGCUCAAGUGAUUCUCGUGCCUCAGCCUCCUGAGUAGCUGGGACUACAGGUCAUAGAAUUUUCCACACUCCUUGACGGAGGUUCUUAACCCUUAUCCAUCAGCAUUCUCAGACAGCACCUCCGGUUAGGGACAGUAUCUGACCGUCCGACAUCCCUGCAGCCCCCAUGCUGUCACACAGACUCAGCCUCAGGUAGAUGGUUUCCGUAGAUGGUGGCUUUCUUUGGACCCUUGAUAUCAACCAGUUACUAUUUGACUCUUCUGCAGAACCCCAUGUUGACCCCUGCUUUGAGGUGGCAGCGUUAACACUACUCUUUGUUAUAAGCUCUCGUCUGGGGCAACUCAGGAGAACCUCAGCAAGGCCCACAUUCUCCCGGUGAAGCCACAGAACCACAGGGAGAAAUCCAUGGACUUGGCCUCGCUCUCUAGGGGACCAGAUGUGCAGAGGUAAUGAAUACCAGGGAAUCAGGAAACCACUGGAUCAGUUCUUUGAGCCAUAGAACAACACUCAUCCCAGCAGCUGGGAAGCUAUCUGCAAAAGUCCAUCUGCAGAAAGGGCUUCCUGGUCUUGCGUGUGGCUGGGCCAUUUCUCUGGAUGCAGGUUUUUCAUUAUACAGUCUUCUCAAAGGACCACCUGCUCUCAACACCUUCUCGGUGACUCCAUUUCCCCUCCUCU